rnacentral:rRNA from 1 species
UACGUAGGGUGCGAGCGUUAAUCGGAAUUACUGGGCGUAAAGUGUGCGCAGGCGGCCGAGCAAGUCGAGUGUGAAAGCCCCGAGCUUAACUUGGGAACUGCGCUCGAAACUACUUGGCUGGAGUGUGGCAGAGGAAGGUGGAAUUCCACGUGUAGCGGUGAAAUGCGUAGAGAUGUGGAGGAACACCGAUGGCGAAGGCAGCCUUCUGGGCCAACACUGACGCUCAUGCACGAAAGCGUGGGGAGCGAACAGG